rnacentral:tRNA from 1 species
GCCCGGGUGGAGAAAUUGGCAGACUCAAGAGACUUAAGAUCUCUCGCUCGCAAGAGCGUGCCGGUUCGAGUCCGGCCCCGGGCACCA